CAGGUCGGCCAGGCGGUCGCGCUCCGCGCUAUGCGCGGGGUGAGGAAAGUCCGGGCUCCACAGGGCACGGUGCUGGGUAACACCCAGGCGGGGUAACCCGACGGAUAGGGCCACAGAAACAGACCGCCGGGCUGGAGGGAUGGGAAAGUGGAUGGAACCGAUGGCACCUACAGUGCCUGGAUACCCAUCCACGGUACCGGCCAACCAGCCCGGUAAGGGUGAAAAGGUGGUGUAAGAGACCACCGGCGUCCGGGGUGACCCGGGCGGCCAGGCAACCCCCACCGGGAGCAAGGCCAAGCAGGGGCGACGUGGGGGCAACCCCUGUGGUUGCCUCCACACGGGGCGGCCCGUCCCGUCCGAGCCCCGGGUGGGCCGCUUGAGGCGGCGGGCAACCGCCGUCCCAGAGAGAUGACCGCCACUCCGGCCUCCGGGCCGGGGGACAGAACCCGGCUUAUCGGCCGGCCUGGAGC
rnacentral:RNase_P_RNA from 1 species